rnacentral:lncRNA from 1 species
GAUUCUUUCUUGGUUGAUUAAUUGAUUGGUGCAUUGCUUUAGUUAGAUUUUUAGUUAGUUUACGACUGCAUCAAAUUUUUAGCACUAUUAUCAGGGACUAAAAUAUUAGUAAAAAUUUAUUUCUAUUAAUUUAGCCAUUUUUUAUUUUGUUUUUUGUUUUUAAUUUAAUUGUCACAUUUUAAUUUUCUUUUGUUUGAUUCUGACAGGUUG